CAUUACUCAUUUGUUCCCUAAAAACCAAAUAUUCCCUAUCACCCCUGAAGUGUAAGAUAGAAAGGAAUGCUUAGGUACAACAUGAAGAACCGAAAGAAGAGGCAGAAAAUUUGAAGAAAGCUGACCACAGACGAGGCAGUGAACUCCAAGAAAAAAAAAGAAAGAAAGAAAAAGAAGGGAAGCCCACAUUUGAGGAUUCACAGAGUAGCCUGACCUGUGACUCUGCAUAUAAUAAAAGUGAUGCUAUCUCCAAGAAAGAGGAGUCCAUUUUCAGAGCAGUGUGUUCUUUAAAACAGGGGUCCCCGAUCUCCAUGCUGCAGAUCAACACUGGUCCAUGGUCAGUUAGGACUGAGCCAGAGAGCAACAGGUGAGUGGCAAGUGAGUGAGCAUUACUGACUUACUGACUGAGCUCUGCCUCCUGUCUGAUCAGCCAUGACGUUCGAUUUUCAAAGGAGUGUGAACCUAUCGUGA